rnacentral:rRNA from 1 species
GAUGAACGCUAGCUACAGGCUUAACACAUGCAAGUCGAGGGACCGGCGCACGGGUGAGUAACACGUAUCCAACCUGCCCUUUACUCGGGGAUCGCCUUUCGAAAGAAAGAUUAAUACCCGAUAUAAAGGAUGGGGAUGCGUUCCAUUAGGUUGUUGGGGAGGUAACGGCUCGACAAGCCUUCGAUGGAUAGGGGUUCUGAGAGGAAGGACACCCAAAGUGGAACUGAGACAAGGGCCAAACGCCAAGGGGAAGCGUCAGUGAGGAAUAUUGGUAAAAGGGUGCUAGCCUGAACCAGCCAAGUAGCGUGAAGGAUGAAGGCUUAUGGGGCGUAAACUUCUUUUAUAGAAGAAUAUGUAUUAGAUGAAUAAGGAACGGCUAACUCCGUGCCAGCAGCCGCGGUAAUUC